rnacentral:rRNA from 1 species
AUUGAACGCUGGCGGCAGGCCUAACACAUGCAAGUCGAGCGGUUGAAGGAAGCUUGCUUCCUGAUUCAGCGGCGGACGGGUGAGUAAUGCCUAGGAAUCUGCCUGGUAGUGGGGGACAACGUUUCGAAAGGAACGCUAAUACCGCAUACGUCCUACGGGAGAAAGCAGGGGACCUUCGGGCCUUGCGCUAUCAGAUGAGCCUAGGUCGGAUUAGCUAGUUGGUGAGGUAAUGGCUCACCAAGGCGACGAUCCGUAACUGGUCUGAGAGGAUGAUCAGUCACACUGGAACUGAGACACGGUCCAGACUCCUACGGGAGGCAGCAGUGGGGAAUAUUGGMCAAUGGGCGAAAGCCUGAUCCAGCCAUGCCGCGUGUGUGAAGAAGGUCUUCGGAUUGUAAAGCACUUUAAGUUGGGAGGAAGGGCAGUAAGCGAAUACCUUGCUGUUUUGACGUUACCGACAGAAUAAGCACCGGCUAA